rnacentral:rRNA from 1 species
AACGAACGCUGGCGGCAUGCUUAACACAUGCAAGUCGAACGAGACAUUCGGGACUAGUGGCUCACGGGUGCGUAACGCGAGGGAAUCUGCCCUUUGCUACGGAAUAACUCAGAGAAAGUGGUGCUAAUACCGUAUGAUGUCGCAAGACCAAAAAUUUAUCGGCAAAGGAUGAGCCCGCUUAGGAUUAGCUUGUUGGUGAGGUAAAAGCUCACCAAGGCGACGAUCCUUAGCUGGUCUGAGAGGAUGAUCAGCCACACUGGGACUGCGACACGGACCAGACUCCUACGGGAGGCAGCAGUGGGGAAUAUUGGACAAUGGGCGAAAGCCUGAUCCAGCAAUGCCGCGUGAGUGAUGAAGGCCUUAGGGUUGUAAAGCUCUUUUACCAGGGAUGAUAAUGACAGUACCUGAAGAAUAAGCUCCGGCUAACUCCGUGCCAGCCGCCGCGGUAA